AAGUACUGGAGUUGAAUCAUGUCAUAUAAUCCUCACAACAGCUCUGUGAGACUGUGGCCUUGGGUGAGUUAAUUUCCUUAGUUCCUCUCUGCCUCAGAUUCCUCAUCAUGAAAUGGGACAGUAAUGGUUUGUUUUGUCCUCUCAAUGGCCUCCUGUGUUUUACUUCUGGAUUUCAUUGGUUUUAGAUGGUUGUUAUUUCUGGAUGGGUGACUUAGGAAAAGAAUUACAUUCCAAAAUGUACUUGAGGCAGUUGGAGGCUACAGUGGGGCUCUGUGUCCCGGGUCCUAGAUAUCCCUGUUGCUAGGAAUGUGGGCACAUGGGGCCCAUGUCUGGCUGUGUUGACUGGUGUAGCUAUCAGAGCCUGUCAUUGGUGGGGGAAGUGGAUGUCAUAAGUGUUUACCUGGCAUCAACCACAGGACAACUUGAAUCCUUUAAGGAAGAGAAAAAGAACGUGCUGCCAGUGGCUUUCUCAAGUCAU
rnacentral:lncRNA from 10 species